AGGCGCAAAUGGGCCAAGCCCGCCGGGCUUCCCGGCUUUUCAAAAAAGCCCGGCCCAAUAGACACCUAUAGCUAAGUCUAGGUGGGGAAAUAUCAGUGAGUGAACCGACUGAGUAGAAAAGAAAACAAAGUACGGUAGUAGUAAAGGAAGGAGACCAUGAGCUUAUCCUUCUCCGGUUCGUACCGCGGUAGAAAUUCCCCACACACAGCACCAAGCUCGGUGCCAGCUCGGUGCCAUGGUUGUUCUAGGAAAAAUCACCAGAGAUCAUGAGGGGGAUUGGUAGUAGUAGUAGACCACAAGCCACACAUAGCCACUGACAUCAACCUCCCCACAGAACCAAGCUCCGGAGUCGUGGCUGCUGCUGAGAAGGUGAGCCAUCGGGGAAAAGAGUGGGAGCAAGAAGGGGCCAAGAAGCAGGCGCUGUAGUGGGGGGAAAUCGAUGAAGGCGGAGGAGAGGAUCACGCCAGCGUAGUUGCGGGCGUCAGAUCGAGGCGUUGCUGGGGUGUACCAGAGGCCAAGAGGAAGGGGAGGUUAGAGGCUGUGAGAGCAGGAGAAAUUCCAUGGGGACCAAAUCUCCCAAAUUAGCACCUCCCCAAAUCACUAACCAAUCAGGUAAGAUCUAGUACUUGAGGGCACCAGGAAUCUGAAUAGAAUUGAUUUCUUGUUUCUACUGUGUGCUGAUGGUAUGCUUGGGUAAGAAAGGUAGGAUUUGGAUCAGAGAAGGGUACUCUCAUAACGCAAUACCAUCACAGGGUUUAAUAGGAAACUGUGAUUUUGUUCUUAGCAAAUUUCUUUCUGAACCUGUGUAUAUAUAUACACCAUACACUUAUACACACAGUUCAGAUUUAGGCCUUAAUAAACAAGAGAGUAUUAGAUCAAUACCAUAUUCCAUUUGGGGAUACAGAGAGAUGGAGUUGGUUAAGAUUAAGUUUAAGCUCUAUUUGCUUUCAGUAAGAGAGAGGUAGAACUAGCUGAUAAGUCUGAUCGGAGGUGAGAAAAUAAGUGUUUGGUUAAUGUAUAUAUGCAGCAGCAUAUUUCAGAUCAUGCCAAGAGAAGUUUAGGUUCAGGCCAUUGAUCAUGUAAACCUCUAUUGAGUCCAGAUUUCUAUAAAAAUGCGUAGUCUGAUAGUAUACAUAACUAUCUGUUGGUUAAUUGAACAACUUCGUGUGCACAUCUCUGGAAAAAAAAUACGAUGAUGAUUUCCUCCUGGUAGUCUAAAACUGUUAGUGUUGCUUUGUACAUGAUCGCCUUACUUGAAUGCCUGUGCAAAUAAGCUGUAGAGAUGAGGUAAACUGAGUCUUGUUGUUUCUAAGGUUAAAAUAGGUAGACUAGUAACUACUCUUCACUAGCAUAUCAACAGUUGUAUGUACCUUGUCUACGUGUCUGAACAGGAGCGUAGUAAGAGUUAACCUGAAACUUGCACAGUAGCUAACCAUUAGCUUCAGGGGAAGAGUUGUACUCCUGCACCACAAGUUCAUCUUCUAGGAAGGGAAUUAAGUUCCAGGAAACCAACCGCAGAUCAAAGUGUCAGUGUAUCGACAACAUGGUUCACGUAUAUACCAUCUUAAUUACUGAACCUUGUAUAGCCAUAAUAAACUGAAGCAUGAUUUGGAUUGAAUCCUCUAUACAGGAACCUUUAAAAUCAACUUAAACCUAGUUGGUCUAGCCUCUGAAUCUAACAAUUCAAUAGAACUAUUCAUGCCAUGGCUUAGCGCAUGAGAACCUCUGGAAUUUAAUCCACCGGGACAUGAAGGUUUGUAGCUCCAAGUUCUCCACUUAAAACUAUAAGAUAAUAAAUCAUCUGAAGAUUGGUAUAUCUGUUAGUCUCUUCUUCUCCCUAGUUCAUACUUAAGUUAUACACUAUUUAGUAGCACACAAGAUCUGAUACCUAAAACUCAUCCAUGAAGCAGAAUUCAAUUUGCAUAAGUUUCCGGGAGAGGUCGACUUAGAAAGUUUGCUUAUCUGUGGUAUUGUGUGAGAUUCUGCUAUCAUCAGUAGAGUAGUUACUGAAGCCUGAAUUGAACUAGCUGACAUACUUCUGUACCAACCAAGUUCAUUGUAGCCCGUGCAUCUGCGUCGUGUUUUGUAUGCCAUUUUGUGUGUUUCUCAUUUGGAUUUCAUUUACUCUCUCCAGUUUGACUCUACUUUGGAACUCUUGGUGUUCAACAUUGAUCUUGAUGAUUUUUGACGAUCUUCCGGGUAUCUCAGGCAAGUCCAGUUCUUGUUCAUAUCUGAUGAUUAUUUUGUAUCAAAGUUUUGCAAUGUAUUCUACUGGUCUCACUUGCAUCGAAAGAAAAUUUAUUUUCGAAAUAAUAUGACAUGAAUCUUGUUGAUCGGCUGCUCAGUCGGUGAACUAUUAUGGCUGGUAGUUCGAACCCUGUUUGGAGGCUGUCAAGCCUGGCUUUCAUGUCGUGGAAGGUGGGUUCGACUACAAAGGAUAUCACCUUAAGGUUUAAUCAACAACUGCCUACUUGUACUCGAGCGCCGUAGCGACCGUGUUGACCACAUGACCCUGUAUGGGCAGGGCUGAGCUGAAGUAAUGCCAUCUUAAUGUCCUACCUCCCUGGGAGCAGUUGGGGUGACCUCUACUGUAGGCGACCAACUGCGAUAGAAGGAAUGACAGUUGGAGGUUGACCUCUACUGUAGGCUACCAACUUGUCAUGGUGGGUAGCUGGUGCCUGUGUUCGCCGGCCAGCCCUGUGAGGUAACGGCAGAUGGGGUGAGUGAAAAGGCUCUGUGUCCAUGAGAAGGUGAAUGGGGCUAGCUACCUCAGACACGUCAUCGUGGGUGUUUGUGGGUAAAGUAACGCACCUCUGCAGAGUGUAUUGAACCGUGGCUUGUCACUCCCUGUUCCGGGUAGGAACUGCGAUCGCGGCGGGAAAGGAGUCCAUAGGGGAUUUUAACAACCCGUGAGGCAAGAAGAGCAUAGAAUUCUAAAUAUAAAACUUGACUCUUUUCUCAGAAAUGUUUGUGAAAAACAUUGCUUAUCUGGGGACCAUGCGUCCUAGUAGAUCAUAGUGCAUUCAAACACUUGUUGCUAUCCUGGACUUGUUGAGUACCUUCUGUACUCAUCCCCUAUGUAAACCUCCUUUGUAUAGGUUACCAACUCUUUAAGGCAUAAGAGAUGUUCUGCUGAUUGUCAAGAUGGAGACGAGGUACCUUAUUGAGCAAUGAAGGAGAUUACUUCGGGAAUACGUCAAGUGUCUAAAGAGUAGGGAACAGUUAGGCCAUAAUUUUUGUGAUUCUUGUAAUUGUUAAGUUGUAUUUUACUUGUAAAGCUAAUUCCAAUUAUUUAUGCAUGACGAAUCCACUGCAAUUGUUUCUGUUUACUACUCUGAGCGGCAUAUUACUUGAGAAAACUUCACUUCACUUGUAAUAUGUCGGAGAUCUGCGUGAUACUGGUUUAGUAGCAAGUCGGGUUGUUACAAUAGGUUCCCAAAUUUUUCAUGUUUUAUUUGUUUGAUCGUCACAUUUGAACAUUGUAUUUGUCUGUCGGACCAUUCUUUAUUUGUUUGAUCGUCACAUUUCAAGAAUUUGAUGUAAUUUGGAUUAUUGUUUCAUUCAUGUGAUGUUUGCAUAUUUAAAUUUGAUUCAAUUUGCUUUCAUAUUGUCUGAAAUGUAUGAACUGAAUCCACUUUCGAUUUUUAACUGUCGGACUGUUGAUUUAUAUUUGCGGUACCAAGUUCCGCAACCGGCAUAACAAAAUCCGCAAACUGAACCGAAUAAGGCUUUUCAGGUCAGUUUUCAAAUUCUGUUUUGCACGGGUCCUUUUCGAUCUGAAGAACACUAAUUCGGUACGCUAAAUACGCGUUUUUUUAGGUCCAUUUUUUUCGGUAACCGCUACAGUUGCUCUAAGCAAAUAGGACCAGUCCUCAGAUCCGAUAACGGACGGCUUGGACCUCAGCGGUGUUGGGAGAGGGAAUCCAAGAGGGGGUCCCCAGGCGCUGAGGAAUCCUCCGACGGCAGCACAGUACACUCGCUCUUUUCGCCGGAGUUUUUCGUCGGUGGCAAGGAUUGAAGGGAUCCAAGACGAUGAGACAGUGUUUCGCAAUUAAUGUCCGCCUACCCCCUGCGCAGCAUAAAUGACCCGGGAAAAAUGCCAAUCCCAGCCAGGACAUGUUCCAUAUUUGAAUUCUUUAACUUUCGGCCCAGCUACGGUUUACCCUGCGGCGGAACAACUUGGACCACCGGACGCGUCAUGUGGCAACGCCGGGGCGGUCCAGAUGUUACUUCGGGUUUGGCCCAGUAUAUUUACUGUACGGACGUACGUUACAUGGGCUUGGCGCGCCCGUAUUCUCCAUUUUCGGAUGUUCUGGCAGAAGAUUUAACACGCGUCGAGGCCCACCGGCCCUAUCCCGAGCAUCGGGUGUACCUGAUUCAGAGCUACCGCUCGUGACUAAAUAUUCUAUGUCCUGGUCUCACACCCCCUUCUUGCCACCACAUCUUUUCACACAGCGCACUUGCUUUCGGAAGAAGUGCUCAAGAUGUUACCAUUUCUUAAACUCAGUUUGAUGAAUUGUGAUGCGCUGAAUUUAUUUUAUAAUUUGUUGUGCAAAAUAUAUAGAAAAGUAGAAAAAAAUUGGUUAGUCAAAGACGAAAAUAGUGAAAAGCGGAUGAAUAAAGGAAUUAUAAGAAUCCACCGCAAUGCUUACUUUGCUGGUGACAAAUGUCUUUCUGCUUUCUAUCUGGUACAGAAUUGCAGAACUUCGUCCUUUGGCAGGAGGAUUACAACAACCUGACACCAGAGUUAUCAUGGAGCCGAUUUGUACUGUCUACCAUCUGCGCUUAUUAGUAAGGCCAGCUCUGAGUAUAAUUUUAAGAAUCCAAGAUACUGAUCUUUUUUUUUUGCGGGUAGCAAGAUACAAGAUGCUAAUCUUAUUCCUGUUGAUUCCAAAAGUUCACUGCAUACUCAAUUUAAGAUCUUUUGUACGGUUACGUUCGUUGAGUUGACUAUCUUAUAAGAAUAUUAUGGUUCCCGCAUGUCUCACGAUUGAUGAAUGUUUUUGUCUUCUUUGGUGAAAAAUUGUACCAUGCUAGGAAACAAACUUCAUUCAAUAUAUAUUUUAGAAUAGGCCCAAAUACACUGUUGAGUUUUUUUCUCAAUUUGUAUGUGUUGAUAUAACUGCUGUCCUCUUUCAUUCUUCAUCGAUGAAGAACUUGUCAAUCAAGUUACUGAAAAAUUUAUACACCAUUGAAUCAAUAUGGAUAUGCCUAUAUGAUACUCCCUCCGAUCCUAAAUUGUUGUUAUGGUUUUAGUUCAAAUUUGUACUAAAACCACGACAAAAAUUUAGAAUCGGAGUGAGUAUGUGGUUUCUGCUGUACUCAAUUAAGAUAUUCGAUGAACUAUUUUUAUGAAAGAAAACUGUAGGAGAUGCGAUAUUCGAUGAAGGACAGUUGUUUCGUGUUCUUUUUAAUUGAUAUAUUGUAAUUUAUAUUAAAACUAGCAGGUGUGUCCGCGCGUUGCUACGGGUCAACAAAUUACAAACUAUUUAUUUUUAUUUCUAUGUAGGCAACUCAUUGUGCCGUCGAGGUCGGCAUGCGGGUGUGGUGGCGUCGGUUGUAAGAUGGAGUAGGAGAAAUCGUGAAAAAAACUGGAGGAAAAGAAAAUAACAGGCAGUGGCAUAUUGAUUGUAAUUUUAACGAAAUUAACCUACGGCAACUCAUGGCGCCGUCGAGGUCGGCAUGCGGGUGUGUUGGUGUCGGUUGUAAGACGGAGUAGAAGAAAUCGUGAAAAAAACUGAAGGAAAAAAAAAUAACAGGCAGUGACAUAUUGGUUAUAAUUUUAACGAAGUUAAUCUACUGCGACGACGUACCAUCACCACCAACUCCAAUUUAAUAUAUUGGUAUAGAUACUUUUCUGAUGCAUUGUUAGAUCUCUUCUUUUGUUCACAGUUACUGGGGCUGGCAGGGUUUUUAUCAUUUCCUGUCCAUUCAAGACCCAGUUUAGGGGUUUCUAUGUUGGCAUUGUUUAUUAUUGGCAGCUACAUAAUAUUUGCUCAAAGGCUUUAUCAUUAGUCAGUUACCCAUAUGUCAUUUGUCAUGUCAAAUUGGCUCGCUCACUCGGUUUUAGAAGGUUUAUCAGCAGCCCACUUGGUUCAUGUGUCAUGAAGGACAAAUGUUAGCUUUUUUUUUUUACUUAUCCAUGAAAAGCGCCCGUAACUGUUACAAUUCACGUCGGACAGAGAAUUAUUUUGAUUCAGAAGCCCAAGGUUCUCUUUCUGAAUAGAACUGAUGGGCCAGACAUGCAAAUUAUGGCCUGCCUUUGAUGCCCAAAAGUUGUGUUCUCAGGUUAGUUGUUCUUCAAAUGCUUGCAAAUGUGUGAGCGCUCAGUGCUAUGGACUUAAGAUGCAACAGUAAGCCCACAAAUUACAGUGGGAAACCUUUAAGUAAUAAAAAUGUUAAUGCAUGCAUUUACCUGUCAGUAGAACUCCCAGGAAACAAUCAGUAUAAUUCCAAGAAUGCUAAAGCUUGACUUCUCUGCCUUCGAAUGAGCAUGGAAAUUUUUCUAUAAAGAACAUGAAAAUGCCAAGGAGCGUAACAGAAGCAGAUGAAAUGAUAAAUUAACAGAAAUAUGCGUAGUGUUUUCAGAAAGACAAGUAUCAAGAAGACACAAGAUGUUUUGCAAAGGAGUUAUUAUCUCAAUUCAUAAACCUACCCUCUAGAUUGACUCUACAAUAAAUAUCUCAAUUAACCUAGUGUAAAUUCUGUGAGUCAGAAGUAACUUCCAUUCAUGGCAAGAUUAUGUUAAUAAUGAAUUAUGUACUUUGUCUGCUCCGUGUUUACCUUCACUCUCCCUUUCAGCAGCUUGCAGUUGAAAUAGUACCUGAAACAAGCAGGCAAAUGAGGUUGGCUCACAGCAAAAAAGAAGUUGAUAUGAAACAAAGCAAAAGAUGAGAUUGUGCGUACACCUCCCAACCUGAAAUCUGGUCAAAAAGAAAAAAAAAGAAAAAUCACAUGUCACAUCAGGAGCUCGCAAAAUAAACUCUUCAAAGUUCUGAGCUAAAGCUAAACCCAUGAAUCAGGAGAGCAUAUAAUAUUUGCACAAUCAUAUCUAGGCAAUAAAGGUCUUUUUAUGGUUAAUAUGCAAAGAUAGUGUUGUAGGUCCUUGUAUGGAAUAGUAGUUGAGUUGAGGGAGUAAACAGAAAAGGCCUGUAAAUCAUAUAUCUGUUGUACGAGAGAGUGAAAGAGGAAGUGAGAAGUUUCCUGAAAAAACUUGUGUUCAUGUCCACUGUAGGAACUCCUUGACGGCGAUCCACAUCCACGAGCAACAUGGUAUCAGAGCGGGGCUGGGAUUCGCGCCGGUGUGGCACCGAUUGACGGCGCAGGUUGCUGAAGAUUGAAGGCGGAGGCUCCAGGACCGAUUCGCAGAGGAGGGAAGCCGGAUCGGGGCCGGUGCAGGUCAGUGUGAAGUGAAAAAUUGGAGAAGGCCGGGGAGUCAGUUGGAGGCAGCGCAGCGGGCAUACGCGGUGCCGGUCAGCAAGGAGGGCGCAGGUGGUGGCAUCAUCAAGGUGACGACGUUCUGCCACAGUAGCGACUCAGUUCGGUGUCAGGCAUUUGUGGGCGUGUGAAGAGGUGUGGCCGCAAUACUGGAAGUCGACGGUGCACUGCAGAAGUGAUUGGUGAGUUGUGGUUGCUGUAUAGGUGAUUGGUGCUGGGGCAGUGUGAAUCUGUGCAGCAAAACUUGGAGAGGGGAGAAUUUGGAUAAAUUCUGAGAAUGCCAAGGUGACUGCUGCAAGGUGGAAAACAAGGUAAUUUGGACGCUGGAUUUGGAGGCAGGUUGCAAGGCGUGUGUGGAAGAAGUGAGUACUUGCUGAGUCAGGUAAAAGCUAGAGGACAAGGCUACUGCUUAAUUUGAGUUGUGCUUCCUCAAGAGGUUGUGUGCUGCUUGUUGAUUAAUUAGUAACUGGUGGGUUCCUUAGUCAUCUGGCCGGAGUAAAUAAUAGUUUAUCAUCUGGCUGAGUUUGUUGGUCCGUGUUGUCCAUCUUGAGUAAAGAACAUGUGUGCACGAAGAGCGUUUGAAGAAAUGCCAAAGCAGACUAAUUCACCUCCUAGAAGAUACAAUGUGUGGUACUGUGACUAUUGUGGAAGACGUGGUCAUUUAAAGGAUUUCUGCUGGAAUCUUAGUGGCACAUCAUUGAAAUACUCCAAUCACUUCAGGUGUGGUAGUGACAGUGCACAUGAUUAUGUGGUUAGUAAGGGAGAAUCACACACUGCGAAGGUACAAAUGACACGAUGAGUUGAAGAAAUGGCUCAAAUUUAAGAAGGUGAGCGCUUGUGAUCAGCCAAUCAUUGAGAUGACUGCAGUAUCUGCUGGUCCCAACAAUAAUAUUCAGCGUCCUGCCAAAUAUAUACACAAUCACACUAGUGCACCAUGGCUGAUUGACUCUGGCGCAUCAAGACAUAUGGUGGGUUCUCAUAAGGAAUUUUCAAAAGGGCCUGCCUAUUGCUCAGGCGACUGAGAAAUCACUAUUUCUCAGUCGAUUGGAUUGUUAUGAGCUUCGUUUUUGCGUUUUUGUUUUUUUUUCUAUUUUCUGUUUCUCGAAUGGGCUAGUUGUUUCAUGGGCUAUUUGUUGGGCUUGUAUGUCUUUGUCAAUUCACUCUACUGAAUAUCUGGACUUCUAAUCCGAAAUACAAAACACAUAAAAGCACUUGGUGCCUAGACCAGCCCCCCUCCUGUCCCCAUGGGAAAAAAAGGAAAAAAAGGGGUACUACCUAAAAAGAAGCCGAUAAUUAAUGGAAAGAAAACCCAGAUUAGGCAAGGGAACCCCACGGCACGGGCAAAAAAAAUACUAAGUUGACUGCACAUAAGGCACGCGACAAAAAAAGUAGAUAAAAUUCGGAAUAUGUAAGUGCAAGACAAAAAGUAGAAAAAGAAAGUUUACUGAUGAAAUUUUUAUUAGAAGUAGAAUAUGCAGUAGUAUAACACAAACUCACAUUGGACCUGUUUCAGGCUCGCAGAAACAACACAACCGAUAAACAGAAUAAAACAGAUAGUUGCACAUAUUGAUCCAUGAUAUGCAACUCGUCUCUCUAGCACCAUACUAAGUUGCACACGCAGACAGAACGUGUGCAACACCCAAACCCUAACCUCCCUAUUUUCAAUCGCACAUGUUGACCCGUGGUGUGCAACUCGGACAUGGAAAAAGUGAUAUGAAAGGACAACUCAACAAACAAAGGACACUCUUGAACCCCCACCUCCCUAUUUUUGGUUGCACAUGUUGAUCCGUGGUCUGCAACUCGUCCUCUCUAAGACCAUACUAAGUUGCACGUGCAGUCAACUCGGACAUGGAAAAAGUGAUAUGAAAGGACAACUCAACAAACAAAGGACACUCCAAAAUCCCCACCUCCCUAUUUUCGGUUGCACAUGUUGAUCCAUGUUGUGCAACUCGUCUUAUCUAGGACCAUAUUAAGUUGCACAUGCAGACAAGCCAUGUGCAAUUCAGACCUGGAAAAAGCGAUACGAAAAGACAACUCAACAAACAAAGGACACUCCUAAACCUCCACCUCCCUAUUUUCAGUUGCACCUGUUGAUCCGUUGUCGUAGCACGGGGCUCAGACACCGGGGAUGCAUGAGCACCCCCUUUUAGGUUCGGCAGUGGGUGUGGGGGAUUGCUCCGGCGAUCGCCGGCGAGGCCAAUGUCAAGCGUGAGGGAACACACGAUCGUUUUACCUAGGUUCGGGCCACCCUGAGGUGUAAAACCUUACGUCCUGCUUCUGUGUUCUUAUUAGCCGGUGAAUAAGGGUUUACAAGUUGAUGGGGAGUCCCCGGGUGCUCUCUCCUUUACUGCUAAGUACUACUUGCUAUUUCUGGCUAGAACUAGUAGUGAACCGAACCGAACCUUUUGACCAUUGGCGGGGGUCCUCCUUUUAUACUCAAGGGGAUACCACAGGUGCCUUGGUGCAUGGGUGACAAGUGGCGAGCAAAGAACUAGGGCAGCUUGCCCUCGCUGCGCUGGCCCGCAUGCAUGGCGAGUAGCUCUGCAACUAGGGGCUACGUGCCUUGGAUUCACAGCGGGCCAGUCAUUGUAACCUGACUGGACAGGAAAUCCCCUUUCUGUCGGAGCAUUAAAUGCUUUGCUUGUGCUUCACUCCUCGCCCUGACGAGCCCUGCGCACAGGGAGCCCGCCAGGCGGCCACAUGGUGUCGUUGUCCUGCCCGCUUGGUCCCGCUCCUGUAACGGGUGCCUGCACCCGGAAACGCCCUCCCCGGCAAGUGACCUUCCCGGGAAGCGCCCAGGAGGGAAUCCUCUCGUUGCCUUCCAGGGCAACCCCCGUAGCCCGGCUAGCCCUGCCGGGCUGGCGACUUGCCGGGCAGCUUGUGCGGUGCUGCCUGGGGUGCUAUCCUUGCAGGGAGCAAGCAAGGCGACCCACGCGUCAUGCAGCGGUGGUACCCCGGGUGUCACUAGUGCGACAUCCGUUAUGUGCAACUCGUCCUCUCUAGGACCAUACUAAGUUGGACAUGCAGACAAGCCGUGCGCAACUCGGACAUGAAAGAAGCGAUACGAAAGGACAACUCAACAAACAAAGGACACUCCUAAGCCCCCACCUCCCUAUUUUCGGUUGCACAUGUUGAUCCGUGGUGUGCAACUCGUCCUCUCUAGGACCAUACUAAGUUGCACAUAUAGUACCGUGAUGUGCAACUAAACACGCUAUGAGGCAUAUUAAGUUGCGCAUCCUGGAACAUGAUGUGCAAGUCAUCCGGAAGUGGCUUGGACAAAAAGAACCUACAUGGUAUUGUUUUCGGACUCUUUAGCAUUCAUACUAAGUUGCACAUGUAGGGGCAUGAUGUGUAAGUAACCCCCGCAGCGGGGUUCACAACCCAAACCCAAAUAAAAUACACACAUUAGGGUUUUUUAUGUCCGGUUCUAAAAAAAAUUCUUAGUUUUACUUGCACAUUGUGGAAAAUAUGAGAUUGGAACCCUAAUGUGAGUUGUUGUAUUGAUCUGACCCUCAUGGGGUAUAUAUAGAGGUACAAAAGGGAGAGAUAGACUUGGAGUACAAGACAAAUAAUUUGUUCAAAAUGAUUCUAUCUUAUCUUUUUAAUCCCAACAAUAUUGUAUCUCUAACACACAUCCUAAACAUGAUGUGCAAGUCAUACCAGGAAAAAAGAGAACCUACAUGGUGUUGUUUUCGAACUCCAAAACCCCCUAAUUGCACUUGGUCAAACUUGAUAUGCAGCUCAUACCGGAAACAGAAAGGCUCAAAAAAGGUUUACACAGUCUGUGUUUUGGUGUGCAACUAAACUCUCUAGUAACCAUACUAAGUUGCACAUGUAGGACCAUGAUGUGCAAGUCAUCCGCCACUUGCUCCAAAGAAAAAUUGCAUAUAAUUGAAUACAAAACUCCAAAACUCCCAAUUGCACAUGUUACGACAUGAUGUGCAACUCAUCCAAAAAAUGGUCUCUCUAAAACCCCAUGGUUGCGCAUGCAAAGGGGCAAAGAGCCCAAAACGGAAAAAAUUAUAGUUUAUAAAACUGGCCUUCCAGUGGACGACAUUAGCGAAUAUCGAGGGUUAAGAGAUUGUGCGCCGCAUCCAAUGCAGAAACUUAACACCUAACACAUAUUACAUGUCCUGGAAAAUAAAGCCACUAACAGCUAAGAAGCAUUCAUGUUUUGAUAAAGAACAUUAAUCUACAUACAAGAACCAUGCAUCUAUCCAAAACAAAAAUAAAAAAGCUUUGUGCUGGGCGGGGGUACCGCAUCCCAUCGCCGCAUCACGUGAACAAAAAAAAUGCAAGAACCUAACAUGCCCACCGCCUACCUCCCUAGCAUACAUAAACCCAACAUACAAAAAUACAUAAGAGACAAGGAGGGGGGUACUCUAUUAUCCAAUAUGGGUUUUUUAUAUCAAGAUUAAUUCUGCCAAAAAAAGACUCAAUAGUCAAAAAAAUCACCUACCGAGAACCAACAUUCUAUAUUAGAGUUCUGAACUUCUCAAUUUGACGGAUAAUUUAACUCUCAACUGAACUAAAUCGUGAUAAAAAGGGAUAAAAAAAACAUUGCCCUCCCUAACAAAAACACACACGCCCCCUGCCGGCAAGCUCAAAAUCUCCCCCCCCCCUACCACCAUACCCACAUCACGUAAACCCAUAAUCAACAACCAACAAGCGGUCUAUUCGCCUCUAUCGAAUCAUAGAUACACAUACACACAAACAAACCCUAGAUGCAGAACGAGGAAGAGGAGAAAAUUUACCAGGAUCUGGGAGCUGGCCGAGCAAUCCGGCAAGACGGGUGCAAAGCUCCGGCGAUGGAGCUCCUCUCCCGCGCCCCAUCGCCCUCCGCCUUGCCUCUAUCGGUGAGAAAGAAAUGCUCACAGGGAAGAGCACACGCAGAACUCCCCCCAUCCCCCAUUAUGCAUAGUUGGGCGAUGAGAGAAACGCUCACAGCGAAAAGCCCAAACCACACGCGCGUUUGGAGCCCAUAACAGAAAACAAAGCCCCCUAGACAAAACACAGCCCACCCACUAACCCAGCCCGGGGACAAACAAAACAAAAACAAACGCACGAAUCUCCGUGUGGCCAAACAAAUCAACGGUCUGUGUAGGUCGACUGAGAAAUAAGUAUUUCUCAAUCGCCUGAUCAAUAGCAAUUCCGAAACAAAAUUGUCUCAGCUUCAGCUUCGGAAGAGCAAGCACAGGAAGGCAGCUUCUUCCAAGCCAUCAGAAGAACUUCACCAUUGCAGUUUCAGACGAUGCACCCUGCAAACGCAUCGCCAGAGUUGUGGUCGAACAUUGAAGCCACGUUCAGCUUCGCCCAGCCCACUGGAGGUGGCGCCC
rnacentral:lncRNA from 1 species